rnacentral:rRNA from 1 species
UGGGGAAUAUUGCACAAUGGGCGCAAGCCUGAUGCAGCCAUGCCGCGUGUGUGAAGAAGGCCUUCGGGUUGUAAAGCACUUUCAGUCGUGAGGAAGGCAGUACAGUUAAUAGCUGUAUUGUUUGACGUUAGCGACAGAAGAAGCACCGGCUAACUCCGUGCCAGCAGCCGCGGUAAUACGGAGGGUGCGAGCGUUAAUCGGAAUUACUGGGCGUAAAGCGCAUGCAGGUGGUUUGUUAAGUCAGAUGUGAAAGCCCGGGGCUCAACCUCGGAAUAGCAUUUGAAACUGGCAGACUAGAGUACUGUAGAGGGGGGUAGAAUUUCAGGUGUAGCGGUGAAAUGCGUAGAGAUCUGAAGGAAUACCGGUGGCGAAGGCGGCCCCCUGGACAGAUACUGACACUCAGAUGCGAAAGCGUGGGGAGCAAACAGG